rnacentral:lncRNA from 1 species
CUCAUCCUUUCCUGACUUGCUUUUCUUUCCCUUCGUUUUACUCCCCUGGAAUAGCACAUCCUAAAGCAGUGGCCCUAAGUCCUUGCCUUAGGAUACGUUCUAGACUGGGAGUCAUGGGCUCUAGAGUUCAAAGUAAAGUUUCUUCUGAACUUUUCCUCUAGGUUAUUGUCCUAUACCUGUCUAAGGACAGACUGUCCCAGAAACUGAGCCCAGGGACUCUGACGUGGGAUGUGUCUGCUCUGGUCACAAGGGCUGAUCAUCAGUCUCUCCAUGGCAAGUUUGAUUGGGAUGGAAAAUCCAGAAUUAGAGGACCUUAACAUUGUCAAUCAUCUUUAAUUCCUUGCUACUAACCCAGUCCUGGUUCGAUGGCACCAUCUUCUCUCUUUUAUCCUUCACAAGGGGCAGAAGAAUGAAUACACUGUGCUCCAGGAUAGCACCUUUGCCAGUCAGUUUUUAUAUAAGGAUCAGCUCAAGACGUCAAGUACAAGCAGAGAACAGAAGCUGACAGCUCACCCUAGCAGUUGAAGAAAUUGUCCCCCUUCGACAUGCUGUUUCCCAUUUACAUAAGAAAUCAAAGCUGCCAGAGCUGGCUGAUGACUGAGCCACGCUGGCUUGGUGAUAGUUUGCUCUUCAAUUAAAACAGAACUGGGCCGGGGAUUUAGCUCAGUGGUUUCGUCGCCUGCUGUGCAAGUGCAAGGACCCAAGUACGACCCCCAGUACCAAAAAAAACCACAAAAAACAAAACAAAACAAACCAGAGCUGCAUUUGGUUUGUUAUCUUCAGCUAUCACUUCUCACCUCCGCUGAACCUUUCCUCGGACCACAACAAAUGUCACUUCAAAGAUUCCACACUGGAUUUCCACCGAGAAGAACAUAAUAACCCCGAAACAGUGUCCUCUAAACAAAACAGCGUGCACUACCCUCCCACCGGGUUGGGGAGAGGAUGUGGAGAAAGUUCUAUGAAUUUUAUAGAAUAAAGAAAGCAGGAAGCUAAUCACGAGGUUGACUGGUUCCAUACUGCACAAGACCAAAUUUAAGAUCUUCAGGGCUAUAGGGAUGUUAUUGGUUCUGUGCUAUCUGAGGUCCUACUAGUGCUCCAGAGCUUAUAGUGACACUGGGGACAACAAACUCUUGUCCUGUUGAAAGAACUUGGGGUGUUUGGUUGGAAAAGGGAAAGUUUCAUGGGGAGGGUAUUAGGAGUCAUUCUCAUAUAUUUGAGAGAUUUUUGGGAAAGGAAUCAGACUCAUAAUAGGCAGAAUUGGCAUACAUCUUUAGCUCAGUAUAAAGAAAACCUUUUAAAUGAGAUUAAUAAGAAGCAGAGGGCCCAACACUCUCUGUCUGAU